rnacentral:lncRNA from 1 species
AUGACUUCAACUUUGAACUUCCUUUUCUCUUGGGCAUCUUGUAGAUUGACAAGUCAUCUCUUAGGACUAUCCAGGUCCCUAUUAACAUGCUCAGCCAGCACAUACAUGCCAGAUGAUUGUCCAGUAAUAGUACAACAUUUGUGUAAUACUUUACAACAAUCACUAAUUGAUUCUCAGGAGGAGAGGAUUCCUACUGUGCUUAGGGAUUUUGGUGUUCUGCUUUGUUUUCAGACUUCUGCUGAGGUCACUUGGGAAGAGCUAGAGGACUUCAAAGGUCAAACAUCACAGGUAGACGCAGUACGCUGAUGGUGAGAAAACCACAGAGCCUUGUCUCCUGGAGCUUUUGGGUCUGUGGGGAAGACAAGCAACCAAACAAGCAAUGGCCAUCAAGCGAGGCAGAUGCUGUGACAGAGGAGGCCCACCUCACUAGAGGAGGGGACAGGGAAGGCUUCCCAGAGAAGGACAACUCGAGUCCAGAGCUUCGAAGCUGCAUCUCAGCUGGCUAGGUCUAUAGGAGGCAUGGCUAAUCCAGGCUGAAGGAAAAGGCAAGAGGCACAUUCUGCUCUGAAAAAAAAUUAAAGGAAGGUGAAGGAAGAGAGAGGAAGGGAGGUAAUAAAGAGAAGGAGAAAGGGAGAAAAGAAGGAAGGAAGCUCAUUUUGGCUAAAACAUAGAGUUAGACAGUGGGGUAGUGUGCAAAGAGAGAUGAAGUUUGCAAGGGAGGUAGAGGCCAGGUGAGAAAGAACCUGGGGGCCCUUCUCAUGGAUUCAAUGUGACCUAAGAGGAAG